ACGACCUUACUUGAACAGGAUCUGUUCUAUAGGGAAGUACCUCUGUAUCCUUUAGUGAAAAGGAGACGGCAACCUAAACCUGGUUGAUGAAUCAGGACCGUGCGAUCAGAGCGUGAUUAAUGGUUGGUGACUCAUGUGAUGGGUUCUCUGGCUGUAGAGGAUCGUUCUUAGCUGCCCUGUAGUGGCUGAGAUGGUCGUGCGGUUGUCUGACAGGUU
rnacentral:snoRNA from 1 species